UACAGAGGGGGCAAGCGUUGUUCGGAAUUACUGGGCGUAAAGGGCGCGCAGGCGGCCGUCUAAGUCAGACGUGAAAUCCCUCGGCUCAACCGGGGAACUGCGUCUGAUACUGGGUGGCUUGAAUUCGGGAGAGGGAUGCGGAAUUCCAGGUGUAGCGGUGAAAUGCGUAGAUAUCUGGAGGAACACCGGUGGCGAAGGCGGCAUCCUGGACCGAGAUUGACGCUGAGGCGCGAAAGCCAGGGGAGCAAACGGG
rnacentral:rRNA from 1 species